UACGUAGGGCGCAAGCGUUGUCCGGAAUUAUUGGGCGUAAAGAGCUCGUAGGCGGCCUGUUACGUCUGCUGUGAAAUCCCGGGGCUUAACCCCGGGCGUGCAGUGGAUACGGGCAGGCUGGAGGCAGGCAGGGGAGAACGGAAUUCCCGGUGUAGCGGUGGAAAUGCGCAGAUAUCGGGAGGAACACCGGUGGCGAAGGCGGUUCUCUGGGCCUGUACUGACGCUGAGGAGCGAAAGCGUGGGGAGCGAACAGG
rnacentral:rRNA from 1 species